rnacentral:snRNA from 1 species
AUACUUACCUGGCAGGGGAGACACCAGAUCAUGAAGUGGUUUUCCCAGGGCGAGGCUCACCCAUUGCACUCCGGGUGUGCUGACCCCUGCGAGUUCCCCAAAUGUGGGGAACUUGACUGCAUAAUUUGUGGUAGUGGGGAACUGCGUUUGCGCUAAA